CGGCCGCGGGGUGGCGCUGCAGGUGGUGCGGGAAGCCAGCCAGGAGAGCAAGCUGCUGUGGGUCAUCCGCGAGGACCAGGGCGGCGAGUGGAAGCACGGGCGGAUCAUCCUGCCCAGCUACGACAUGGAGUACCAGAUUGUGUUCGAGGGAGUGAUAGGGAAAGGACGUUCCGGAGAGAUUGCCAUUGACGACAUUCGGAUAAGCACUGAUGUCCCACUGGAGAACUGCAUGGAACCCAUCUCAGCUUUUGCAGGUGAGAAUUUUAAAGGUAAAAAAAAAUUUUUUUUUUGCAUGCUUUUUCCUUCCCCCAUGUGAUGUGAAUUUGGUGGGGGGAAUCAACCUCCAAAUUUGUCAAAUCUCGCAAGAGAAAAGAGACGCCACACCUUCCUGCCACUAGAUGGCACUAGCAACACCUGUAGAUGCGGGAAGGGGAUUGAGAGCCUCACUGUCUCUUGUUUAAUUAAAGUUUAGAAACCUAUUAAUAGAGACAAAUAGGUUACAGAUAAACCUUUCA
rnacentral:sRNA from 1 species